AGAUUUUCGAAUCGGUGCAGAGAUUUCAUCAGGCCCCAAUCCACUAGGUCUGAUCAGACUUUCAAGAUAAGUGAUUUU
rfam:Schistosoma haematobium scaffold3275_1, whole genome shotgun sequence.